AUCCUGGGAGCUGAGUCAUUCUCUAAAACGGGACCAUCCUGCUCUGAACAUAAAAUGUUCCUCUGCAGAACCUAAGGGCACCAUACUCCCUCCCUGAGCUGAAUAGAAGACUGGCUCUCCUGUUUCCUGAUGAAAGAUUUUCAGUGGAGCUGAUAAGGAGUGUCCGUGACUCCAGAUUACAAUAAGUCACAAAUCACUUAUGUUCUGUUGUUGUUGAUUCUGUUUUCUUAUUAUUUAGCUACCUGUUUGAAAUUGUGUAUGUGCAAGAUAACUGCAAUAAUUUUUGGAUGACUCUUCUGGAUCAGCAGUCAUAGCUGCCGCUUCAUCCAAGUAAUAUUAUGCCUCAUUGUGUCCAUACGUAAAAUGAAAAAAAAAAAAAAAAA